AGCAACCUAAAUUUGAGAAUUCGGAUCAGUAAGACCAACUGCAGCCUGCAGCUAGAGCGGUGCUGGAGUCAUGGGCCCGAUGGUCCCAAGGGUGCAAGGAAAAACUUAUGAGAUGACUAAGCACACAGGACACGGUGGGGAUGCAGCAUCUUGGACCUCAUCCGCCUGUGCUCUAAUUCAAAGACAAAUAUGUUUCCCAACUUGCCCAAGGCUCUGGCAGGGAAAACUCAGAUCCCCAAACUCAGGUCGUUCUAGUGCAGCAAUAACCAGCUGGGUUUUCAGCAACUUGGAUGGAGCCAUCUGUGUUCCCAGCCCACAUAAAAAUAUGCACAAGAAGGGUGCAAAUCAGCAAGUCCACAGCUUCCAGAGGCCCCAGCUGGGAUGUGCCCUCCCUUUGGGGACUAAUGAAAGGUAAAUCCAGUGUCAAAAGACAGAGGGCCAGCAGCAAGACUAUGGAGCUAAGUGAGUCCAGACUCUGGUCCCUUUUCUGACUUUGCCUGAAAUAGAGCCCAUCUGGCUCCCUGGCCACUGUGCUUGUGUGAAGGGCACUGCAGUGCAUGCUGAAUGCCUGGAAAAUUACCAGAGGUCUCCUGCCUCUCUCUCUGGGGGCACCAGGAACUGGCCACAUAGGAACUCUCUUCUCUGAUGCUCUGCAUUCCUCUGACUGCCUGGUCAACCCUUAAGCUUUCACAUAAUGAGCCUGGUGAGCCCAGGUGGUCAGGAAUAGAGGGGCUUUUUGUGUCUUGGUCUUAAAGAAGGGAGCCCCUCAGAUUUUCCCACAUACUCCCCCUUCCUUUCCUACCACUCCACAUCACAGAAGGGAAUUUAGAGUCGUCUUGGCUCUCCGGCUAAGACAGAGGACAGUAGAUUCCACAUGAAAAGCCAAAUUAAAUGGGGGUGCUGUUACUCAGCCACCCAGGUGCAGAUGGCUUUUGGCAGCCCAGUACUGGGCGGUGAUUGAGAAGAGUCUGUCUCGAAGUCAUUACAGUUAAUUGUCACAGAGUUACAGACUCAUCUGCAGGCAAAGAGCCAGCUCAAAAUCCCCAGGGAAUUUUCAGAUGGAUUAAUAAACAAAAUGGCAUAUGUGUAAAGCAGCUGAUUCUCUACAAAGAAAUGAUAGUAUUAUUUCUUUACUCUUCAUUCCUGGACCCAGGACUAUUUUACAGUCUCUUUCACAUCUUGGAAGGCAUUUGUCCAACAGGGCUCUGAGUCAGGGGAAAGUAUUUUCUUCCUUGUUUUUAUCUAGUAGCACAGACACUUUCACUAUGGGGUUAGUGCAUUUUUCAUGGCUCCUGGUUCAUCUCAGAAAAAUGCACAUCAACCCAGCCAUCCUGUUGACUAAGUGGCAUUCACUAAGCCAAUAUUCCACAUAGAAACACUGAUGCGGUCUUAACAAUGGUAGAGUAAAUGGCAUCACCACCUGUCUACAUACGUAAAACAGGUGCACAGUUGGGAGCUGGAGCCAUAGCCUCAUUGAUAUCAUAGACAGAAACAGGAUCUGUUCAAUAGCACUGGUACUGAGGAGAAAAGCAGCACAGUACUGGAUCCUGCACAUCACUUCCUUUUCCAGUUUCUUUGAUUUUUCUGCUAAAGUUUAUAUGAUUACUCCUGAGAAGCAGGAAUUGCCUCAGAAAGUUAUCCUGCUCUUUGGCAUAACCGCCCUGCUGGCU
rnacentral:lncRNA from 1 species